GCGGUGGUGGGUCCCAACCGGCGGUACCGGGUUCUGUCCCGACCAGCGGUGCUAGGUUCGGUUCGGACGCGCGCUGCUGGAUCUAAAUGGGCAGUGCUGGGUCCGAUGGGUGGUGCUGUGUUCGGUCCGGACGCGCGGUGCAGAGUCCGGACGGGCGGUGCUGGAUCCAAAUGGGCGGUACUGGAUCUGGACGGGCGGUGAUGGGUCCGAUGGGCGGUGCUACGUUCGGUUCGGACGGGCGGUGCUGGGUCUAAAUGGGCGCUGCUGGGUCCGAUGGGCGGUGCUGGGUUCGGUCCGGACGGGCGGGGACGGGCGGUGCUGGGUCCAAAUGGGUGGUGAUGGAUCUGUGCACGGGCGGUGCUGGUUCCGGACGGGCGGUGCUGGGUCCGGACGGGCGGUGGGUCCGAUGGGCGGUGCUAGGUUCGGUUCGGAUGGGUGGUGCUAGGUCUAAAUGGGCGGCGCCGGAUCCGAUGGGCGGUGCGGGGUUGGGUCCGGACUGGCGGGUCUGGGUCUGGACGGGCGGUUCUGGGUCUGGACGGGCGGUGCAGUAUCCAAAUGGGCGGUGCUGGGUCCGGACGGGCGGUGCUAGGUUCGGUCCGGACGGGUGGUGCUGGGUCUAAAUGGGCGGUGCUAGGCUCAGCAGGGGACCGGUGGGCGUGGCGGCACAGGUACGGAGCGCAGGGCGGGUGCAGCGCCCUCUCCGAAGGGCCCUGCGCUCCCCGCGCUCGCUGCUCCUCCCGCCCGCGCAUUGCCCCGGGGCUGCUGCGUGUUUCUUCCAGGGUGAUUCCUUUCCGCUGGGGUUACUUCAAAGCCGACCUUUUCAAGCUGUUUUCUUCCGCGGAGGACACGUUGUUAGGCUUUGUGUGCAUUUCAAGGGUCAUGUUUUCUGAACCGCGCUCCGCCGCUCUUGGGGUGUUCGAGCCCCCACACUGCUGUGCGGUGUUCCUCUCACAGAGUGAGGUUGGAGGGUCCCACUGCCUUUGUGUGUCUCCUUAGAAAACGCCUCUUCUCUCAGACACAUUGUUAUCUGCCAAUCCUUCGCAGACGUAGAGAACGGACUGCAGAGUUAAUAAACGUCGAGGGGAAGCUUUGAUGCUCCCCAGUUGGCCCUGAGAGAUGCCACGUGAGCGUCAUUUUAAAUCCUUUCCUGGGCUUCCCGAUGGACUCGAGUUUUUACUAUGUGAGCAUCCCCGUGCCUGCACAGCAAGGACUCUCAUUGGGUUCCACACGUGCUGCGCAGAUCCCUGACACAGCGUUCACUGAACCUCAACUGCAGAAGCUUCAUUCCUGAGGAUGCUGUUACCAAGAAUGACUUGCCUCUUGAAGAAUGAGUUUGCAAAGCCUGCAGUUAGAUUGCUGAUGUCCAAAGUAAGUAUGUGUAGCAUCACUAAAGAGAAAAUUCAGGAUUCCUGGAAAACAGUUAUGGGCUCUCUGCAGUGUUAUUUUUGUAAUAAAAAACAUAUAGCAUAUGUGAAAUACCUACUGGGUGAUGCAGGACACAUAGAAGGCUCGAAAUUAAUGUGAAUCAUUCUCGUUUUUCUGACUGUCAUUAAAAGUCCCCAUUUGUAUUAUGUAUGAGUGGUAUAUCAAUAUCUAAACUACACUUCAUUGUAGGUCCCAACCAACAUUAGUUUAUUGACAAAUGUUUAAGAGCAGCCAAAAAUUCAUAGAAUACCUAUGAUUCUUAAGUCAUGAACACGCCCAUAACUGGUAUAUGUUUAGGACAUGAAAAUUUCCAGGCUGACAAAUCAUUUCGCUGUCAUCGGUCAAGACUCCGGGAUGAUAUUCUGAGCCAUAUGUUAAUUUUGAUAACCACGUAGAACAAUAAAAGGUAAACAUGCUCCCAUCUUCUAUUCUCAUUGCACCACUGGAUUCUGGUACAUCUAAAAAUUGUACUUAAAUGAUAUCCAAGAAAUGCUGUAUAAAAACAAAAUAGGGCCGGGCGCAGUGGCUCACACCUGUAAUCCCAGCAUUUUGGGAGGCCAAGGCGGGUGGAUCACGAGGUCAGGAGAUCAAGACCAUCCUGGCUAACAUGGUGAAACCCCGUCUCUACUAAAAAUACAAAAAAAAAAAAAAAA
rnacentral:lncRNA from 1 species